AGAGAGAGAGAGAGGGGGCAGCAGAGAGAGGGAGAGGGGGCAGCAGAGAGAGAGAGAGAGAGGGCAGCAUAAAGAGAGAGGGGGCAGCAGAGACAGAGAGAGGGCAGCAGAGAGAGAGAGAGAGGGCAGCAGAGAGAGAGAGGUCAGCAGAGAGAGAGAGAGGUCAGCAGAGAGAGAGAGAGAGGGGGCAGCAGAGAGAGAGAGAGGGGGCAUUAGAGAGAGAGAGGGGGCAGCAGAGAGAGAGAGAGGGGGCAGCAGAGAGAGAGAGGGCAGCAGAGAGAGAGAGAGGGCAGUAGAGAACGGGAGAGAGCAGCACAGAGAGGGAGAGAGAGAACAGCACAGAGAGGGAGAGAGGGGGCAGCAGAGAGAGAGAGAGGGGGGCAGUAGAGAAUGGGAGAGGGGGCAAGAGAGAGAGAGAGAGAGGGCAGCAGAGAACGGGAGAGAGCAGCACAGAGAGGGAGAGAGAG
ensembl:lncRNA